UCCUUCUUUGAUCACCGGCACUUAAUUUAAAUUUAAAUUGAUCUUAAAUCCUUAAAACUAGAAUGGUUUUUAAUUAUUUUUUAACUCAUUUGCAACUGCCUUCACUAGUCUACUAAAAAGUGAAGAAUUGUUAUUAGCUGGAAUGUUAAUAAAAUGUUAAAAAUAGCUGUUAUUAGCUAUAACUUGCUAGCUUCGUUUUUUAGGUAAAUAAUAGUUCUUCACAUUUUGUCAGAAAUUUCACAUUUAAAUGUAGAAAGCAUCCAUGAGCCUGGUUGUUCUAACACCUGUAUUUACAAAAUGGUGUAUUAAAAUGUUUAUAGUGGAGCUUCAGUUGUAGGAUAAUGUUGCUGAUUUGCUUGAGCAGCUUGGAGACUUUUGAAACAUCAAAGUACUGUUUACUUCAGAGGUUGAGGCUGACUACCAGACCUUACUUGCACAACUUCCUGAGCACCGCUGCAAUGUAUUUCUGGAGGUUUAGGUGACAUCUCACAGUAGUAAUGGCAAAGAAGUCUGGGGGAGAGCAAGGCUGCUGGAGAGCUCUGCGGAGCGGUGGCUCCAUCCCGGUCACCUUUUAAUGGAGCUGUAAAACUCUGGUUUGAAUAGGAGAUGGCUGCAUAUUCAUAGUGAGACUUCGAUUAUCUGUUUUGCCCCCUGUGCUUUGUACUGGUUGUGAGAAGAAAGUGUGGAUUGGUUGUACAAGUGGCUGACAUCCUUGCAGAAGUCAUCUUCCUCUAUGCAGAACCAAGCUUCAUGGAGUAAUGUCACCAUUCCAGGAGCUCAUCUAAAAUGUAUCCAACAUCUUACCUGGUGCCUAGCACAGGAAUUUCUCUGCUUUGCUUGAGUCAGGCUUGUCCUCAGCAUCCAUAACACAUUUUUAUGAAAUUGCUGUUGAUUUCAUCCCACUUUUGUUGUUUCAGAUAAAAAUAGCUGAAAUAACACUUAUUAUCUGUGCUGUGCAUGUGGAAAAAAAGCCACGUUAAGUGCCAGAGCCCAGUAGCUGAGAAUUGCUUCAGCUCUCAAGGAUGGAACUACAGCAAACUGUGAGGUCUUGCAUGAAAUACUGGGCAUAUUUACAAAGCUCAGACAAGGUUUGUGGCAUGGCAGAGCAGUGUGGAGUUCUGCUCUGCUUCCCUUGGGAUCUGCUGCCUGAAGCAUCAGUCUAUGGCUCCCAGCAGUUAGAAGAGCAGGAGGCUGAGUGCGGCUGGCAGCCCCUGCUGCUGCAGGACCAUUGAGCUGCAGGAACCAUCAGAAGGUAGAAUUUCACAGAGGAGCAAAUACUGUAAUGAAAAGCCAACAAACAUCACUUCAUCUAGAGGGCUGCAAUGCAGAAGUGUCACUGAAUCUCAAGAGAUCCAGAGAGAGCGGCACAGCCAAGACAGGUCAGCAUGCGGUGGGAAAGCAGCUCUAUCCACUCCUGUUAGUGCUUUUGUGGAGAAGGAGACAGGAGAUUGGCACAAUGUAUUUCUCAGGAGAUGCUCUUCCCCUGCCUUUUUUCUUUCAGUGCCCCAGGAAAACUGCAGUAUGAAAUGGAAAGAAAAAUGAUCCUUUUGCAUGAAAGCAAAGCAAUAGAAAAAGCAAAAGAUCAGACUGGAGCUUGCUGGCAGAAAGCAGGAUUUUUGAGGAGACAGCAGUUCAAUGGGACAUUUUUUGUGUAAAGCUGUUAAACAAGGCUUGCAAGAGAGGCUCGUCCAUGUGCGUCCCCCCACUUCUGGGGGUGAAGCUCUGUGCUGUUUUUUGAGAUGCUUCAUGAAUCAACUGGGGAUACUCCAGCUGAAGCAGAGAGACAGCUGUUAUCUUCUCUUUAGAGGCUGGAAAGCAUCAGCAUGCCACCAGGCCUGCUUAUAUUACAUGUUCUAAACACAUCCAGUUCCUUUAUUCUAUCUGUUAUUCAUCAGAAAGUCCAAACCCACAAAUGAGUGGUGGUGGUCAUUUUCCACUUUCUCUCCAUCGGGCCAUUUGCAGGUUUUCCACUCCUAAGUGUCUCUGCUCCCUGGCCGAGGCUGGCAUUGAGCGGUGAGAGAAGCAAGGUUGCUGUUUGCAGGGCAAGUACUUCUCCUUAGCAGUGAGUGUGUAAGAACAGACACCAGUGUGAGUGCUCGCCAAUUGACUCCAAGGCUGUGAUUUGGCAAAUGUGGGGCAGUACGAGGGAAGACACUCAGUGCCCAAAAGACACGUUUGUCCAGCUGCAUCUCCUGGGAGUGUCCUGAGCUUGCUGGGGCCCAAGCACCCUGUUUCACCUGCCAGUACCCCGAGAGCUGUAGUCUCCAGCAGAAGGGCAGGGCAGGCAGCUUUCUGCAGUGGGCACAGGGAGCUUCACUCUGGCUGUUGUCUCCAAACUUCUACGCAUUCUCUCUGGCAGCUUCCAUCUGGUGCCUGUUGGCCUUGGAGAGCAUCUCGUGAUCCCACUGCUGGCAGCAAAGGCCUGGUGUGGACAGGAGGGACUUGUGUCUGACUGUCACUGCCAGAGCCUCCCUUGCUCUGGUUCCUUCCCUGCCUCACUCUCCAGACAACUUUUCUGCAGCAUCCCAGUCUUUCUGGGAUCCCUUUUAUAACCCCUGGCUUUUAGCUGCAGGCAGCCAGGGCUUUUCUUGGAAUGACUUUUUUGGAUGGUUUUUCACAUUGUUUAGAGGUUUUUCUGGCAUUUUUGGCAGGCUGAGCAUGACGAUGACUGAAAUUUUCCCUCUCCUCCUCUUGCUGCUGGACAAUUAGAUUUUGCCUGCCUGAAAAUCUCUCUACCCACAAGAGAGCCCAGGGAUGUAUGGGGAGGGCUGAGAGAGGACUGUGCAAGCAGAGCAGGAGGGAGCACAAGCUGCUGCCCAGAUGGCCACAGCAACCUGUGAGAAGAGCCCUCUGUAUGCAGAUAUAGAAGGACAAGAAGGCAUUUACAGAAAGAAAGAGGCUUAAAAUAGGCUUAAAAAUAAUAGGCUUAAGCCUAUUCAAUACUUUUUUUUUUUUUUUUUUUUUUUUUUUGAGUUUGAGUUUGAAAGCAUAUAUUUACAUGUUUAUAAACAAAUAGUGCCAAGCCAAGAGUUUGUGGUUGCUGUGUUGAUGGUGAAGUAGGGACUUGUGUAGGCUGUUUGCUGGCAGGGCAGGUGGUCCUGUAUGGUCUCAGACAAGACAAAAAAAAGCCAAAACAAAGUGAGAUGAGGGAUGUUAAGGAACUAGUUUCAGUUUCUUAGGUUGGAUGUGUAAUCUCAGGCACACCGAUAUUGCAGCUUUAAAGGUAAAUGAAUAUAUAAGGGUGAAAAAGAUUUCAUUCAGUAGACAAGGUAGUGGCAGCCAUGAGAAUUAGUUUACAUUUUUAUUAGGCAUUCUCAUUAAGGAAAUGGAAGAGUAGGAUUUAUACUUCUCUCAUUUCAUAAGGUUUAUGUAGGAUGCUUCACUAUUGGAACGCUUAAGCACCUCAGACUAAUGAAAAGAUUCUUUCAGGGCUCUUAAAUUGUUUUAUAGCUUGUGAUAACUGAAAAGUUAUGUUUAUUUCAGGAAACAUUAUUUAACUAGUAGAGAAACGUGCGUGAGUGCUGCAGAGACUGUCGUGUGUAUGUAACACAGUGGCUGCAUAUGUGGAUGCAACCUGUUUACAAGACUCAAAUAAGACUGUGUUUUUUCCCCUUGCUCAAAAGAACGAUUAAUUAACAUGAAGAGAUUUUGUGACUUACAAUAACAGAUGGUUGAGAUUCAAGGAGAGAGAUUUUUCUCUCAAAAAAAAAAAAAAAGUAAAUCCAAAGAAACUAGAAAUCAAUUCUUACUGAAACUAUUGGAGGUCUGUUUCAUGUUCAGAUUUGUUGCUUCUUUUUAUAGUGUUUAUUAAUUCAUUAGGUAGAGUAAUUUUUUUAGCUGUACAUUAUUAAUGUUAAUUACUGCUAAUUGUUAAAUAUUAAUUAUUAAUGUUACUUCAUUAGCUAUACAUUAAAACAUUUUUAUGUAUGUGGUUUUAGAUCAAAACACAAGUUGCUGCCUUUUCUGAGUUUUAAGAUAAGUAAGUUAGAUUCCCAAUGUCUGUAAUACAGUGGUGUGUUGGUAGAAAGCACCUCCACUAAGAUCAGUAACAGAAGUCCAGCCUCAGACUGUGCUGAGAACAGAGUUCAGUCAGGGAGACUUGCACUUGUAUAUGUUAGCAGUGCUUUGCAUCACAAAUGCUAGCUUAAUAUUUCCUAUAUCAGCCAAGUGUACUGCCCAGUAUAAGAGAUUGCUAACCCGCAUAUGUCCGGUGAAAAGUUGCAGGUUAAAUCCCUGUUUUUAUAUUUUUCCACUUCUGCCAUUAAAUUUGAAGUGGAGCAUCUAUCCAGUAACAGAAAGCUGUCACCAGCUCAAGAGCUGAAGCUGCUCUCUGGCUCCUGCUGCCCUGAACUGCUGGGAGCAGGACAGUGCUGAAGUGGGUGAGGACAGCAGCAGAGGUUUCCUCUUGCAGAAGUUGAACUGUUGUACACAGUUUGUGAGUUCCCUGUGCUGGAAUGCAGAUAAAGUCUUCUACAGAAUUACUCCCUGUGGGUUAUGUGUUAGGUGUUUUUCCGUCGGGCUUUAUUGCGGUGUGUAAAGUCAAAGUCAAUCUUCAGAGAAGGGGAGAAUAGAAAACCUUCCUGUAAUGCAUUUGCUGCAGGAUAUUUCUGAAGUUAUUUCAGAACAUAAACUAUAUCUCUUUAAGAACAGAAGGUAAUACUGUUUUACAGUGAUCUCAUUUAUCACGUUAAGGCUCAUGUUAGUUGACCCCUUGCUGCUGACACUUGUCACAUUUCCCAGAUAAUAGAGUGGAGCCACUGUCUGACUGUCUGUAACCACAGAACAGUGCUCCUCUCUUCUCUGCUCCACUCCCCUCUUCUCCUGCACAAGCCACUGCUGACAGCUCAGCGGCAGUAAUGUGAAUUCCCCUUUUGGGUUUGGACCUGAACAUAUUGCUUUUCAAUCAUUUUUGGAUGUGCUUUUGAACACUGCCCUCCUAAGUGGGAAUCAAGAUUGCAUCCAGCUGCUCCAGAUUAUUUAAAUUUUUGUGAAUGUGUGUUUGUUCUGGAAGAGCCCCAGUGAAAUGAAAGAAAAGUGUGAAGUGCCAAGUGUAUCCUUGGCUGCACUGAACAAAUCCCUGUAUGAUAGCAUGUUUCAGUUUGUUUUUCAACAGUGGAGUGAUUUUGUUGAAAUCUCAAUAGUCGCAAGUAGCCUUCAGAAGUUAACAUAGCAUCAGUAUACAGAAAAGAAGUCAAAAGAGGUUGUUUCUUGAGGUUGUUACUGUGUUCGCUUGUUGCUGUGUUUGAGGAUUUCUGCCAUAACAAGGAUAGCUGUGUUCUCUUUCAAAAAGGCAUUUCCAAUCUAAAAUCAGUAACGCUUCCAGUGUAGGACACACUGUUGGCCCUUUUGUUGCAGAAGAUGAGGCAGCGGCCAGAGCCCUUUUACAGCCAGAUUUCUCUUUCUUUCUAACCCUUUGCAUGCACCUUCAGUGGAUUCUAAUUACUUUUCCAGCACUGAGUUUGCUGACAAAGUCAAGUUUAGUUUUUGUUAUAAACAAAUGACUCCCUGCAUCAGUACCAUUUAUUUUUUACAUUUCUCAGCAUGUUAUAAAGAAAGCCUAUACAAUGUGAGGUUUUCAUUUGUAGGGGCUUAGGCCUUCCUGGUUGGUUGUUGAGUUUUUGGUUGCAUCUUCACAGUGCACGCUGGACCUGUUGAAGUCUGAAGGAGGUGUUUGAAAGCUCCUCAGAGUUGCAGAGUAGGGCAAAGCACAGACACUGUCAAGCUGAUAGAGAUCUGAAUUAUGUGUGUCAUCAACUCAUUGCAGCUAAGCAAGGAGCUGCUUAUUCCUCUGACUACAUGAUAACUAUCCAUGAGAACAGUCUCCUAAACACAUGUGGUUCUAUGUGGCAAAACUGUCCCACUGCCCCUCUUGAAUAGUGUGAUUAAAGUCAAGAUGCCUCAACUGUCAUAGGAAAAAAAAUACAUAAAAGUGUUCCUGUUUAUGCAGUUUAUAUGGGCAAGUUAAUGUUACUGCAUUGGCUCGUGACUUGUGACUUGUGGCACACAGCUAACAACGUAAGUGGCAUGGGGCUUGCUUGUGGCUAACAAAUGAGAUUAAUAAUCAUAUCAUGCAUUAUUUCCUGAAGCAGUGGAACCGUGUUCCCAGUGGUCAUUUUGUAGGUUAACAGUGAACGCAGAUCAGCCUAGGAGCCAAGGUCAUUGCUAAAAUUUGGGUAUUUCUGACUGGCAGGACAUUAAGGACAGUCUGCUCUGUAGGUUAUAGGUACAAAAUACCUGUCUUAUUAAAAAGUGACAUCUCUGAAAUUGUGUAGAUGUAUUUAAGAUAAAAAUAUAUAGCCAUGUAGAUAAUAUUAGGAACACGUGGGAAAGAUUGGAAUUAAGGUUGUGACAUAUAACUUCAGAUUUAGUAUUUCCUAGCUCAUGAAUAUUUAAUCAAACUUUUCUAAUAUGUCUUUAUCGUUAUUACUUCUGGUUUCUGUUCUUCACUAUUGUAAUAUUUCUGAAUUAUAAAGAAAGAUCUCUAAGGUGAUAUAAAUGCUGACAGCAGACAUACAAGCUCAGUGCCAGAUCAAAGUAUUUCAGUUAAUGAUAACAGAUUUGCACUGGUAUGCUUGUUUGAGAUUAAGAUGUAAAUAGAUAGAGGCAGUCUAUCAUUGUCUUCAGACUUUGCUUAUAGCGAAAACAGGAUAGAUUAUAGCUAUAUUAUUACACAACAUACAUAAACUAAUUAAGAAGUGUUGUACUGUGCACAAAGAACUUUGCCUUCAAAAUACUCAAAAUCCAGUGAGAAAAUAUAUUCUGGUUUUUUUUGGUUGUUAUGUGAUUAUCACAGUAUGCUGAGCAGAAAAGUUUGAUAGAUAAAACUUCUCCAGUCUAAAGAGAGUAAUUAAAGUGUUGAAGAAAGCUAGUCAGCCAUUAAUCUUGCUCUGUUUGAUGAAUAUUUUCAUGAGAUAUGGAGCAGAUAACUGUCAUUUGUCAUUAAAACAGGUAUUUUCUUCCCCUAAUCUGUUGCAUUUUCAAGGAAAAUGAAUUCUGCCUUCAUUGUAAGAUUGUCUUCUGUGCAAGAGGAGUAAUUGUUUGAGGGAGAAGUAGCGACAUGUUCAAGAGCAGAGGAAGAAGACAUUGGAAACUGGAGGGGACGUUUUCAGCUGGUCCAGGUGGAGGGAGAGAGGUAGAAGCAGUGCAGGGCAGUCUCCAACAGGUGAGGUUUUAGGAGGAGAUGCUCACCUUUCAUUGCUGAAGGAGGUUGAAAGGGAUGAGAAUGGAGUGGAAAAGUGCAGAAAAGCUUGAAAACUUCUACUGUGAGGAGACUAGAAAUGUACAGUCCAUAGAAGUACAUUACUUUUUUGGACCUGACUUGUCAAAAUUAAUCAAACACUGAGUAGAUAAAGUUGGACAGCAUCUGUAUUUGAAAUUUGGGAUUAUAUUUUCUUUUAGUUGCUUUCUGCUGUCAAACAGACAAUUAUAUUUAGUUUGUGCUUGGCACACUGAGGGUACCUUUGUUUGGAUGCAACUCUUAUCAGUACCUGCUUUGCCUUCUGACUGGACUUGGUGAUGAGCUAUGCCUGGAGGCCAUUCAGAAACUGAAGCAGGCAACCUCUAACCCUGCUUAUUAGGCUGUGCUUUACUGAGAGGCAGCAAAAUUGCCUCCUGGCUUUAGGUGGCUUUGAGGUAGUACUUGAUCUUUAGAGUAUUAGAGAUUUUUAAGGUCCAAGUAUUUGAGGGAUGUCUCUUCUCUGCUCCAUGCCAGCAGCCUGAGGAGCGUGCUUGAGUUCCUGUGGUGCAUCUCCGUGGCACCCACUCUUCAUAGCAUGGCAAAUUCUCUCUUUUCUGCACUCAACAAAAUUAUCUCUUCAUCAGACUGCAGGUCAGAAUUUGUAGCUACAGUAUAACUGAGUUUAUGACUGUGUUGUUGAUUUUGAAGUGAGCAAUGGAAUUCUUGUUUGUAGGAAGGCUUGGCUUACCCACUGAGCUGAUCCACAUAGCACAGAAAUGCCAGUCUGCAGAGUAAUAUAUAAAGUAUAUAAUACUUUAGAAAAAAGAAAGAAAAACGCUAGGAGCUAUCAUCAAGAUAUAUCCUCAUGGUGCACUACACUACAGAUAAUAAAUCACCAUCUUUACAACAUCAGUGGUGCAGUGCCUGUUGCUAAGAGUGGGCUGAUGCUAUUUUCAUAAGCCAGGUGAGCCAGUAGUUAAUGAGAUUGUGCUGGAUGCUGGAGGGCUCUCUGGGGCUGAGCCUUAAUAGGAAACAUUCUGCUCUGAAGUGUUUCAGAGACACCUUCAAGUGUUCUAGACUGGCUGCUCUGGAGCAUGUUAGGAGAAGCAGCUUUUCACCAAACCACUCAUAAAAGUGCCAUAGUCUGAAAUUUGUUAAUACUUGAAGAACUCUUAAGUUUUUAUAGCAGUCAGGAUAUAAUGGAUAGCUAAUGGGCUUGGAAAAAGAUGAUGUAAAUAACUGUUGGUUUUGGACAGACAAGACUUAGAGUUGGCUCUUAAGAACUGAAAACAGCAACUAUUCCACUAAAUACAAGUGAAGUGUAUGGAAAAAGUCAUAUAGGAUAUACUAGUCUCAUCACUUCAGCAUUGAUUCUCAGCAACAGAGUAGUGCCAGAUUUUGCAAUACUUCCCUUCCUAAAAUAUGUUUAUUGCUUUUAGUCUGGAAUAAAAACAUUGCUGCUGCAUUGUUUUUGGCUCACAUAUGGUGUACCCAUGUUAAGCCUCCAGGUCAUCACAUUUUUAUAGUUCAGAAAUGUGAUUCUACAUCUACAAAAGGGAGAACUCUUCUUGUUGUUACACUGAAUUCUUUGUAAUGAAUAAGACCACUUUCUUCCUUUCCUCUUGAGGCAUGAGGAAUGUAAUGUGGUAGGAAUGUGCAGUAGAAGGUUCAGGUCUUCUCUCAGUGAGUUUUGCAUGUUAUCAUAUUGAAACUAGCAGAGCUGUUGUGUGUGGUGCUGUGUGAUUUUAACUCUGUGGUGGUGGUAAUUUACUAUCCAUCAGUAAUGGCAUUGGUCUCACUUGUGUGUACUAGUAGAUCUGUUCAGGGACACUGGAGGUUGCAGACAGAAGGCUGAGCAGGGCAGGGGUAUUGCACACUGAGCAGUGUUAGGCACUGAUGGGCAGUGCGAUGGCUUCCAGAGACCUGGGUUUGUGCUGCAGGUGUCUUAGGGGCACCUGGGCUUCCCAAGAAAAUAUUUGAUAAAAUGGAAAUGAGGUUUUAAAAUAGAUUUUCCCUCCUCCUGCAAAGGUCAAAAUAAUGUAAUUAAGCAUAUGGUUGUUCUGAAGAGAAAUAAAUACAAAGAUUCUCCUUAGCAGCAACUGGUCACUUCUCUGAUGAGCUGGAUGUGAAUCUUGGCUUCAUAUCAUAACUGGUUUCAUGUACGACAUUGAUUUAUGCAGAAACUGUGCCUGUCUCAAAAGCUGCCUGGAAUUGUGUAUUGUUGGUGAGCUGAUGUACUCAUGGAGCUUUUUCUGUUUGGGCACUUCAUCAGCUGAGCAGCAAGGCAGAUGUCAGCAGUGCCUCGUCACUGGCAGUCUGGUUUUAGAUCCAGCAAAAGAAGUGAAAUACAUGGAGCAAUGAAGUUUGAGAACAGUUUAGAGGGGAAAAGAAAAUCUCCGCUCUGUACUCACAGAGGGCAAGUGGCUGAUGUUCCUUCAUUUAAGUCACGGAUAUUUCAGUGCAGAGCUGUGUGCUGUGUACGGUGUGAGGAAGGGACUGCUCAGAGCAGGCAGUCAGAGGUAAGGUGCCCAGCAGCAAAGAAGAACCAGCAGAGAGUGUGGAGGGAGCAGGGAAAGAAGACACCAGGGCUGUCACGAGGGUGGAACAUGUCCAAGUACAUUACAUGGGUGUGAGUGGGCAGCUGUAAUUGCAGAAAUGUUUCCCUGUGGGCUUUCUGUCAAAAAAUCAGUUCUGUAGCUGUAUUUUGGGAUCUGCUUUUCUCCUUCUUUGUUUAAGAUGGAAAUUCUCAGUAUGCCUGGAAGCAAGAUUUAUUAACUUCUUAAUUGUCAAAGUUUUUGUUCUUUCUCUUUUCCCUACAAAAGGGUGGAGAAGGAAGGAAGGAAGGAAGAAAAAGCAUAAUGUCAUUCUCCUUUCACAUAUUUCUUUCCUUUACCCUCUGUCAUUCUGCAUGUUUCCUCUCGCUUGGUUGAUUUUAUUUAUUUAUUUAUUUAUUUAUUUUGUAGGUGGAGUUUGUGUUUAUUUUUGUGUGUGUUUUAGUGUUGAAAGGGGUGAACUUAGUGAAAAGGAAGCUGUUGUGGAGCCUCAGAAAGGUUUUGCCAUUUAACCGUGUGAUUUCUUGAGUAUAACCAAAGCACUCCUUACUUGUAAUACUUCUGCUGCACAGUCCUGUUCUUGAGCUACUGCUGGGCUUUGCAUGUUCAUGUGGUUUAUGGUAGCAAAGCCCGCCUUACAGAUGAAUGGUGAACAUUUAAAGAUGAAUUCAACCAAUAUGCGAGUUCUUUUGGUUGUUCUUUUUGGUGUUUGUUUUGUUUUUCAUUACACAAAUUAUUUGUUUAGCUAAAUGCAAUCUUAAUCUUUGUUAUUAAAAACAACAACAAAAAGAAGCAAAGGCUUAGAAUUAUACAAAACCCAUUCACUAUCACAACUUUUCCAAGGGCCAGGGAAUUUCCAGUAUGUUUCUUCUUUCACUAGCUCUAUGCUUUAUACUUUUCUUUUUAGCAAGAGUUUUAUAGCAAGUACAAGUGUUUGCUAGAAACAGCAGCUGAAAUGAAGAUGGUGAGUGAAGAGUCGCUUGGUUUGGGGUAUAGCUGUUCCUUCUAUUGUGACAGUCCUGAAAAGUUGGUAUUUCCUGAAUGCUUCUGUAUUUUUGCAACUUUAGUUAGUAUUCUGGGGGGAAAGAUGCUAUUUAGAAUGGACCAUUUUCAUUUUGCAAGAAGUACACUCUGCGUUAGCCUUUUUAUCCAAUGCAUCUAAAUAAAUGUAAUAGUGAUUAUUGAAAGGGAUAUUUAUUUUCACAUAGCCAGAUCUGCAGCAUCUACAAGGAUAGAAUUUGUGCAAAAUGAAGUUCCACUUUUAGUCAUGACAAAAUCUUUCCAGUGCCUUUGCAAUCCAGCAGUUUGGAUGUUUUUUUUUUUCCUAGGUGAAGGUUGUUGCUUUGCUUCUUUUGGCCAAAGAAGUUUCAAUAAGGUGACUUUGAUGUUAAAGGGGACAAUCCUCCUAUAGAGUUCACGAAAAGCCAUGUGUCACCAGUUCCUCAUAGCUGUGGGCAUAGGACACAUCCAGGGAGACAGCAGUGCACAGUCUUAAUACAGUGUCAGUCUUAAUGGAUGGAAUGGUGUUAGAUGUAAGCUGGAGCAGUUCUUGGGCCUUGGAAGGUUUCACCUUGUCACUAUUUGGCUACCAACCACAAUUACAUCAAAGAAAGCAUCUGAUUUGGUCCAUUUUUCUUUUCAGCCCCUUGUAAGAUUUGCACUGAAGUUAUCCUCAGUAACUGUAACAUUUUAGUGACCAUAUGUUUGGCAAACCAUGUAAAUAAUUUACAACCAUUGUUUGUAUUAUUUUUGUCGUUCUGAAGUUAUUUUAAAGAAACAGCCCAGUUCUAUUUCCAGAAUGAAUAAAUUUUCACAUAAAUCUGGAUAGGCCUGUACUGCUCAGAUCUCCAUAAAAGUGUGUUUAAUUCAUUAGUUUCAUGCUGAACUGUUAACAUUUUAGGUUUUAUUAGGAGAGAACAAAGAACUCCCAGCUUGUUGAAAAUUUGUUACACAAAAAUAAGGAUGAAAAGGUUCCAGAAGAGCUGAUGUUAAGCAUUGUGGAGUGGAUGAAGUUGUGCAGAUUGGAAAGAUUUACAAGACAUCUGGUAAUUAGUUUCCAGCUCCUAUGGAGCUUUGCCCUGUGAAAGUUACUGCUGCUGCUGGAAGGGGAGGGGAGCAGGAAGGAGAUGAAAUGUGACCCUGCAAAGCCAGGUCUUUGUGUUCACGGAUUAUCAGUGCACUACUGAAGCCUCAGGGUAACCUUUUGGAAAACUACCUCCUAUGAAGAAAAAAAAACAACAAAAAAACCUCGCUAUCUUUCCUUUUUUAUGAUUGUCCCCCUCUGCACUUGGCUUAGUAUGUGGGGAAGGGAAGCAAGUUAUCAAGGAGAUUUUCCCAACUGAGCCAGUCUGCCUGGCUGACCCAGAGCAGCCUGCAGCCACUGCCCGGCCCCAAGGAUUGGUGAUGUUCAGCUUGAGCUUCUCAUCGUUAUUAUUUCUAUUACUACUACUGCUGUUACUUACCAGCACUAGUUUUUAAAAUCCACUAAGGAGGAUUUAAACAAGAAAGAAGAUUUUCUGUUUUGAAUUCAUUUUAUAAAUUAUCUUUUGGGAGGACCUUACCACACCGUGAUUAUAGGAUAAGCUGUGUUUAUGUGGUUUCUGAAAUUCUGGAGUAGGGAUGUUGAAGCACUGAAAGGGCACCGCAGAGACCUGGAGCAUGUUACCCUCAGAGCCUCUGGAGACUGUGCUUCUGUGCUCUGCUCCUCACAAUCACUUUCAGCAAGUCGUUACCCUUUCAUCUCUAUUUUUCUGUCUGCAAAACAGAAUAUUGAUCUUGACUUACAGUAAAAACUGCAGUAAAAAUGCGAAAUAAUGUAUUUGCUUGUUUGUUUGUUUGUAAACAUUUAAUCAUCUACACAUCAGGAAUCAGUUCCAGCAGGCUAACUGCUCGUUAAAAAAUUUAUAUGCUCUCAGAUCUGAAUCUGCUAAAUCUGUCUGAAGAUAAUUUUCCUAGAAAUGGUGCACUUUAAAUCUUAAAAUCAGGCAUUUUCAGGAAAAAAGAGGUUUAUUGAGAUGAGUUGACAGAAAUAAUGUUAUUUUUCCUGGAUUGCAGAUGUAAGCAAAUGUGCACAUAAUAUUCACUAAAUUAUGUGAGUGACUGAAAAUACUUCAGAAGUAGGCUUAUAAAUUAAUACAUGAACAUAUAUCAAUAUAUAGUAUUAGGAUAUGUUAGAAGAGAUUAUGUUUGUUUAUGAUCUAAUUAAUUUUGCAAGGAUAGUAGUUAAUUUUAUUCCUUCUACCAAUAAAUUGUGGUUUUGGUCUCAAAUAAACAAAGGUAGGCAGUGUGAGCCUUUAUUGUUGAGCUGACAGCUACUGUGUGCUCUGUGUGGCUGUGGCUGCAAUUCCUGAAUGCAGUACAACUGGUGCUGGAACCAUAUCCAUGGAAAAGAUGGGUUUAGCUCUCCCACACAGAGGUUGGUGCUGUUUAUGUGCUUUUGCCUUGCCCAAGUCCUCAGUUGCUACAUCUCAGUGCUGCUGUGAUCUUAAAGGCUGCCUUGGUCAGCCUGAAUCUGGGCACCAGGAGAGAAGUUACAUUUCUUUCGAAUGGCAUUUCUGAUCAAAAAGAUUUGGGUCCCACUUCAUUCCAUCCUUUUACAUACCUUUGACUGUGUGUACCAGUGAUUCAAGCUCUCUGGCAAAGCUCUGAGUGGGUUACUGAUUUCUCAGCUCAUCCUUGUGGCUGUCGGAUGCCUUAGAGGAGAUGUGUAAAUGCUCAUCGGGAGACGCAACUCAUUAAAUUAACACUGUUGGGGGGGAAUGGCUACACUUGGAAUAAAGCUAUUUAUUUUUUUUUCAAUAAACAGAUUUUACUGAGUGAGAUGUGUUUCACUUAGAUGGUUAUUCAGUUUUCUUUCUGGUCUGAUUAUUACUUUCGUACGUUGAUGUAGUAUCCUUUCAGUAGAGUAAAUAAGCUUUCUUAUCAGAAAUUGAUUUCUGUAUAUCAUGGUGCUAUCUCUGUCUCAUUGAAUUGCUAUGCUUUUUGAGUUUAAACUGCUAUUCACAUGGGUUUUAAAUGCUUUUAUUACACAUUACACUUCUGUCUAUACUAAGUGCUGUUUCAGUAGUCUAGUUGUCUUUCAUUCUGUUAUAUACAAAGCAAGUUCCUUUUUUCAACUGCUUUGAGUCUGAAACUCCCUCAGUUGCUCUGGCUGGCUGGUGACAGGUAUGGCUUUGGGCUCGUGUUCUAGCACCUGGAGAUCACCUGCCUGAUCACCUGCACACAGCUUUGGCCACUCUGAGUUGUGUGUGCCAAACACACAAGGAACAGAAUGGGAAAUAGGCAAAGGGCGGAUGUUGUGCCUCUGCUUGUGUAAAAAGAGAGAGUAUAGGGCUGUGAAAGUUGUGAAAGAAUGUGAACCAUAAUUACUUAAUUCUUAGUACUGAAAAUUUUGUGAAACAGUGAAACAAAGUGGCUAGUCAAGAAGCAAUCACAGCCAUGUCCUACAAGGAGCCAUCCUCUUUGACAUGAGCUAAAGCUUGUGUUGCCUACAGGAGUAUGCUGAGUAAGUGGAAGUGAUAGCAGCUCUAUUUCUCUGCACUUACGAAGAUCUUUCAGAGACUAUAUCCCUACAGCAUUGACCAUAAGAGCAGCCUGACUGCUGAGGAGCCUGCCUGACACACAUGCUAUUUGUCUUUAAUGGAGAAACAGAGUACUUGCUUUUCAAGCACUGCUGAUCUGCCCACAUUAAGCACAAAGUUUGCUUCAAAAUGUAUUGAUGCUUUGACAGCAUACAAACGCUCCAUUUUGUGUUUUUUGAAAGGAAGAACAUUUUUAAAAAAGAUAUCGAAGUGACAAAGGACACUUCUAAGAGCAGAGCAUCUGUAUCUUCUGCUUUAGGCUCUUGUUCAGUGUCUCGCCUCAGGUUUGAGGGCAUUUCUUCUAGUAGAGAACAUUAGCCUCCCAAAAAAUGAGAGUUUAAAAGCUAAGAAGCUGCCCUCAGCCUAGACUUCAUGAAGCACAGAAUCUGACUUGACAUGACGAUUCUGCAUCUGCGUUUGAUGGUAAUAGACUUCAGGAAACAGGGAGGUAGUCUGGAAGCUGUGAGUCUCAGCAACGUGCUUAAAGGUGCUCAUUUAGCCUCUGCCAGCUCCCACUUCUCAGUGCAGUUACAGCCCUCUCCAGCUCCAGCUCCAGGCUCCUGCCUUGCUCAUUUCGGAAGUCUGAACUACAAACAGAAACAUGUUCAACUACAAACAGAAACAGUUCAAACAACUUGCUGUUGUUUGAACUGUUCACUCUUCUUGGUAGCAAGGUCUGCAUGCUGGUUUUGGAGAACUUUCAGGAGUCAGUCAUACUGGUGUCUUUGAAAUGAAAUGGGCAGUGGAGCUGGGAGCUGACCAUGUGGACGUGGGCUCUGUUAGAUGCUUAAAAUCAUUUGAGAGACUUUGUAAACCAUAUCCAUCCAAGCAGCACAUGUAAAGUAAACAACAAAGUUAUUUUUAUGAUUAAACCAGUAUGUAAACAUAUUACAGGUGUGUUUGCCAGGCUUCAGCACUUCUGUCAUCACCUUUCCUGCUCUUUUUCCCAUCCAGUUAGUUGCCUGUAGCAGUGGAAUUGCAACUUCUGGACAUAAUUAGAUUUGAUUUCAAGCAUAUUUUAUGUUAUGUGCCACAGGAGACAUUUGUAUGGCUGUGUUUUUCUGGGUCAGGUGAGGAAAGCUUCCUUUUCCUGUAGCAGUUGCAGGAAGUUUGGGAUCCCCUCUGUGGGUUUCCAUCUCCAGAAUGACAGUCCACGCAUCAGGAGGAUCUGGGGAGGGCCUGCUAAGUCAGUCCUCUGACAGUACCAGCAGGUGAGCAAGCAUCAAGAAGAAGCAGAAGGAUGUAUCGUGAUAUUGUAGUGCUGUUUAAUCUUCCGUUUUCCUCAGUUGAGAAACUAAAUAAUUGUGUAGUGACUGAGAUCUGGAAAGGAAAGCUCCAUUCUGUCUCAGGACAGAGACUAUACGCUAGAUGUGGAUUGGUAGGAUUCAGUGUAGGACUUUAGGCAGCACUGCAGAACUGUGACACUGCUGUUCCUGAGGGAUGUGGAGAAGGUCAAGCUUUGGGUGCAGUUCACCACAUUUUGCUUCUCAGCUGAAGUAUCCGAGUUGGAUGUGGAUUUAGAAGAGGUGGAAGACACAACUGCUUGCUUUAAUCAGCCAUUGAGAGUUGUGCUGUAAAACUGAGCUUUCCACCACAAAAAAAAUACUACCAAACUAAUGACUUACGCUGAUUUUACUUCUAUAAAGAUUGAGUUACACUGAGGAAUAGGUGGAAAUGGGAAAUGUCUUUGUGUACGAACUGGGAAGGGUCAGUUUUAUUUUUGAGAAAUACAGCCUUUUCCUAGUUACAAAGGUUUCCACCAGACUUCUGCGAUUUCAAGUUAGCUAUCCUACGCAGGGAGCACCAGCAUUACUUUUUCUGUUUCGUUAAACUGUGCAGUCUUUGAUGUACAAAUGAAUGGAGGAAGUAUUUAAAAGGAAUAAUAGAAUUACAUUUGGAAGCAUGUGUGUUCUGGAUGGUUAGAAAGACUGCACUGUGAACUGACUUCAGUGAUGGCAAUACAGGCUUCUUUUGAGGGAGAAUGUUCAGUGCUUGCUAUUUAAGAGCAUGACUAUCGAGCAGCAUUCAGGAAGGCAGUAAGAAACAUCUAAAAGCAUAAAACUAAUAUUAAUGUGUUAAAAGGUCAUUAAAUCCCUAAGUGGAUGCUUCUUACUCGGUAUUAAUGCUUUUCAAUGUAGGCAGUUUGCCCUCUCUUCCCUCUGUGUGUGGGCAAGCUAUAACUUUGUUGAUGAAGAUGAAAGCUGAUUUUUAAUAAAUCAUGUUCACUAAAAGGUAUUUUCUCACUUUGUGAUAUUAGAAGAAAGUUUUGCCAUGACACUAACACCAUUCAAUAGUUUAAUCGUCAAGUUUGCCUUUAGACUUGAAUUGUUGGACUGUGAUGAUUUUCUAAUAAACUAAUGUGCUUUCUCCAUUGGAAAACACUGUUUAUACAUAGAAUUCUUGGGAUUUUUUGGCCAAAUAUAUAUUUCUUAAAAAGAAAGCAUUUUAAUAUAUUGAUCAGUGUUUCUAAUAGCUUAAUAAAACGGUAUUUUGGGUAGGAAGCAGGGGACUUCAUUUUUGACAGCUUUAAUUGACUUGCAGGCUUAGUCUGUUGAGAACUUCCAGUUGUUAUUUUCUGGGCAUAAAUCUUUGUAAGUUGACUACAUAUUUAAAGCUAGUUGUAUUUUAAGAUCAAUUAGAUCCUUCCGUGAAAUUGAUUGUUUUAACUGUUCAUCAGUCUGAAGCAGCAGUCUGAAGUGUGCAAAGGAUGCUGGGAAUAAUGUGGGAAUAAUGGAUUUUUUUUUUCAUGACAUUAGAAGUGUCACUGAAAAUAUUGGUAGUAAUCCUGAACUAGAUGUCUCAAUGUCACUUAACUUCUUGACUUGAAAAUUUUUGCAUUGAAUGAUGGAAUUAAUCAAUUCCAUCAUGGGCAGACAUCUGAAAUGAUGAGUGUACCAUUCCCCAGGUACUGUGUGUUUCUAUAAGUAUGGAUUGCUAGCAUCAUUAUAGAUGGAGGCUGCGACACAUUAAAGAAAAAAUACGCACGUAUCGCAGAUAAGUUUUGUUUUGUUAGUUGAGAAGCAUCCUGUGUCAUGAAAGACAAGCAAAAUUUGCCAUGUUUGCUAAAUACAGGUUCAUCAGCAUGAAACUUUGAGCGGAGGGAAAUUCUAAACUGUAUGCGUGUAGACAAAUUUCUUUGGCAAAGACCUUAGCACAAACAGGUUUGUACCCAUAACAAGAAGGCAGCAUACUAGUGCUACUGCUGUCUCAGUUGUGGUGACAGGGAGCUUUUAAUUUAUCCUAAAUUAGGACUAGUUUGUUAUGAACAUAUGAACAUAUGUUUCAUUAAACUGUGCAGUCUUUGAUGUACAAAUGAAUGAAGGAAGUAUUUAAAAGGAAUAAUAGAAUUACAUUUGGAAGCAUGUAUGUCUUCAACAUAUGUUGAAAUAGCAGAGAAUAUUUCCUUUGCUGACUGUCCUCUGUGUUUGAUAGAGAGCAUAGAUAAGAGCUGUGGUGCAUUUGUAUGAAAGAGUUCUGUACAGACUUCAAGGUAUUUAAAAUAAACCUAAUAUUCAGCAUGAAUUUUCUUCAUUCCAGUAAGCCCUGUGAUUUCUGUUUUUCAAAAACAACUCAUAUUUGAUAAACUUUCUAUAUACUGCCUGAAUAAUAGAUGGUUAUUUACAACUCCUCUCUCAAGAGCACUGACAGAAACAAUCUGAUACGUUUUGUUACUUGGUUUAAAUCCAGUAUUUAUGUUGUAGUUUAUCAAAUUACAUUCUGGGGAUAGUUAUUUUUUUAAACAAAAAUUACGGAACUUGACUUGUAAAAGUGACUGUGUUUGUUCUGGAAAAUGGAGAGAACCUGAGUAGAUUUCUAAGAGCAUCAAGAAAGGUACUAGGAACCGUCAGGAAUACAAAUAGGAAAUUAAUAUUGAGCUAUUGUAGCAAUGAACUAAUUUAAUGGGGCUUUUGGUAGUAGAAAAACUAUCUGCCUUCCAAAACACAUUACUUGGGGUAUCACCAUAUUACAGCUGUAAUGGAAUUAUCAAGUGGUUUGUUAGCCAGCUUUCUUUAGUAUCAGCACUGUGUAUUCUCCUACUAAUAGGAAGUUUAGUGCUGGAGGUUUUCACUGUCUAAAAUCUUCAAAAAUCAUCAUUUUGGCUCCUUUCUCAUUAGGGUAAUUAAUAGCCAGUGUGUACUCUGUCAGAUUCUCCUUGUGGAGAUUCUCCAAUCUGUCCUGAAACAAGCAUAACCACAUGAUUACAUUUCUAACCCAGACCAUGCAAUCUGAAAUUUAUUAUGCCCUUUUAUGCUGCCUGCAGGAGGACAAUUGAUACCUGAAUAAGCAUGAAGCCUGGUGUUACAGAGCUGAUCCAUUGACAUUUUGGAUUGGCAAAGUUGGUUUACAGUGUAUCAGUCUUUCCUUUGAGUAACCAUGCUGCUUUUGAUCUGGUUGUAAGAGCUCUAAAGUUGGAUUUACUGCUGCAUCGAACCAUGGCCUCAGGCACAAGUCCUAUUUCACAAUCAGCAAAAUUAGCAGGGGAUCCCUAAGUUAAAAAUAGGCACUUUUUUAGCAGUAAUUUCUAGACUUCAGUCUUAAGGGCAUGAUACUCUUUUAAGGAAAUGACAGAAGCAAAGGUUUGUACAGUGAACUCGGUUCCAUAUAGCUUAAGUUACAAAGAGUCUCUAUGGAUCUGCUAGAAGCAGUAAAUAACCUUUUUCAGCUGGCAGAUAUAACAGAUAAUUCAGUGGCAGAUAAAAUAAUAACAGUUAUAGCUAUAUAAAUAACACAAUGGACUGAAACCUUUUCUUUGUAAGAAAUUGUACAUAACCCAGAAAUCUUGUAAUAUUGAGUACUUUAUCAAAAAGCAUUUUCAAUGUGAAUUUGAUGUAAUGCCAUAGACAACCCACUUGUGUCCUACCACAGCAAAAUGCUACCAUCAAAAAAUCAUUGCUACACUUGGGGCUGUUGCUAAUGAAAAGAGUACACUUUCUGUGCUUAGAGGGUGUAUUGUUCAGAUGCUGUAAGUAUAAGUUCUCAGGCUCUGGCACUGAUGAUAUGAAUGCUGAACACAAGUAAUCCUCUGGAUUACUUGAAGCCAUGGAAAUUAGGUGCUGAGAAAUAAGGUAAAUGGAAAUUGCUGUCCAUCUUUAACGUUAAUUUCUAAUGGUCACAGUACUGGAAGCCACAAAAGUAUGCCUUUUAAUUAAUGUUCAUUUCAUUAAUGUUCGUUUCAUUUGCUGUGAAUUGUAACUAGUAAUAUAGAGGAGAAUCUCCAAACUUGAGAAGAUUAAGAAAAAAGAUAAAGGAUACAUUUUCUUCAAAAUGUUAAAAAUAGCAAAGCAGGAAAAUAAUCUGAGCAACGACAAAGGGACAUAUUUCCAUUCCUUUCUUUAAAAUAUAACUAGUAUGGGAUUUGUGCUCUCCAGGCUUCACACAGUAACAUCCUGGAUAUGGGUCCUACAGACCCAAAUUGUUUCUCAUAAUAAAGCAUGAUGUGGAGUCAACAUGAAAUCCAGUUAACUUACAUUUUCCUUCAUCCUUUUUCUUUGUAAUUAUCACAGCCUCAGCACUAUGAAGUUCUAUCACCAUAUUUGGAGCACUGUGUUUUAGAAGAGUGCUGUUGACAGUCAAAGCGUAUCUAGUGAGUGCAGCAUUUAGAGAGCAGCAUGCUGCUAGCAUUGUGCAGAUUGCAAAUUUCUUGUCCUAGUUUCUCACCCUGCAGCUGGUUCCAUAUGGGCAGCUUUAAUGCACUUUCAUAACGUGAACUGUAGCAAAUACAGAAUUCUCAUUUCUGUAACCACCAUGCUGGGAGUCUCACAGACUACUUGCUGGUGUUAAUGCUGCUGCAUCCAUCUGAAUGUUCACAGCACUGUGCUGGAAAAGCCAUUCUUCAUCAACAUGAAACCUGAGAGCCAGGGUUCAGUAGUGUUAGGUUUAAAGGAUCUGGUGUCACCCCAUAGGGUCCUAGAGUUUAACCUCACAUCUUCUCAAAUUCACCAUCUGAAGUCACACUUGUAAAUUAAAUCUGUUCAGCUGACUAGCUUGGAUGGAGCACUGUUAUAAAUCCUCUGUCUUAAGUUGAUCAGGUAUAGAUCCCUCAAUGAAGUAUGCAAUGAAU